rnacentral:tRNA from 7 species
GGGUCGUUAGCUCAGCUGGUAGAGCAGCGGACUUUUAAUCCGUUGGUCACUGGUUCGAAUCCAGUACGACCCA